GACGAACGCUGGCGGCGUGCUUAACACAUGCAAGUCGAACGGAAAGGCCCCUUUGGGGGUACUCGAGUGGCGCACGGGUGAGUAACACGUGAGUAACCUGCCCUUGACUUCGGGAUAACUUCAGGAAACUGGGGCUAAUACCGGAUAGGAAUCCUUGCUGCAUGGUGGGGGUUGGAAAGCUUCGGCGGUUUUGGAUGGACUCGCGGCUUUUCAGCUUGUUGGUGGGGUAGUGGCUUACCAAGGCUUUGACGGGUAGCCGGCCUGAGAGGGCGACCGGCCACAUUGGGACUGAGAUACGGCCCAGACUCCUACGGGAGGCAGCAGUGGGGAAUAUUGCACAAUGGGCGGAAGCCUGAUGCAGCAACGCCGCGUGCGGGAUGACGGCCUUCGGGUUGUAAACCGCUUUCAGCAGGGGCGAAGCUUGUGGUGACGGUACCUGCAGAAGAAGCACCGGCUAACUACGUG
rnacentral:rRNA from 1 species